rnacentral:rRNA from 1 species
GAUGAACGCUGGCGGCGUGCUUAACACAUGCAAGUCGAACGGAAAGGCCCUGCUUUUGUUGGGUUCUCGUGGGGCGAGGGGGUGUGAAACACAAGAGUAUCCCCUCCCUGACAGUGGGAUAACUUCAGGAAACAGGGGAUAAUAUCGGAUAAGAGCUCUUGCUCCUUCGUGAGGGAUGGAAAGUUUAGGCGGUUGGGGAGGGACUCGCGGCUUAUCAGCUGGUUGGUGGGGUAGCGGCUUACCAAGGCUUUGACGGGUAGCCGGCCUGAGAGGGUGACCGGCCACAGGCGGACUGAGAUACGGCCCGGACUCAUACGGGAGGCAGCAGUGGGGACUAUUGGACAAUGGGCCGAGGGUUUGAGCAGCAACGUCUCAUGCGAAAAGACGGCUUUUGGGUUGUAAAACGCUUUCGCGUGUGACGGAGCGUGAUUACGGUACCUGGGUAAAAAAGCACGGCUAAAUUCGUU